rnacentral:rRNA from 1 species
UACAGAGGUCUCAAGCGUUGUUCGGAUUCAUUGGGCGUAAAGGGUGCGUAGGCGGCGCGGUAAGUCGGGUGUGAAAUCUCGGAGCUUAACUCCGAAACUGCAUUCGAUACUGCCGUGCUUGAGGACUGGAGAGGAGACUGGAAUUUACGGUGUAGCGGUGAAAUGCGUAGAUAUCGUAAGGAAGACCAGUGGCGAAGGCGGGUCUCUGGACCGUAACUGACGCUGAGGAGCGAAAGCGUGGGGAGCGAACAGG